CGAAGGUAGCAUAAUCAGUAGUCUUUUAAUUGAAGGCUGGUAUGAAUGGUUGGAUGAAAUAUUAACUGUUUCAUUUAAAUUUUUUAUAGAAUUUUAUUUUUUAGUUAAAAAGCUAAAAUUUUUUUAAAAGACGAGAAGACCCUAUAAAUCUUUAUAUUUUAUUUUUAUUAAUUAUUUAGGUAAAUUUAAUUAUUAAAAAUUAAAAUAUUUUAUUGGGGUGAUAUUAAAAUUUAAUAAACUUUUAAUUUUUAAAUACAUAAAUUUAUGAUUUUAUGAUCCAUUGUUAAUGAUUAAAAAAUUAAGUUACUUUAGGGAUAACAGCGUAAUUUUUUUGGAGAGUUCAUAUCGAUAAAAAAGAUUGCGACCUCGAUGUUGGAUUAA
rnacentral:rRNA from 1 species